UACGUAGGGGCCAAGCGUUGUCCGGAUUUAUUGGGCGUAAAGAGCUCGUAGGCGGUUCGGCAAGUCAGCUGUGAAAUCUCCACGCUCAACGUGGAGGGGUCAGCUGAUACUGCUGUGACUUGAGUCCGGUAGGGGAGUGUGGAAUUCCCCGGUGUAGCGGUGAAAUGCGCAGAUAUCGGGAGGAACACCAGUAGCGAAGGCGGCACUCUGGGCCGGUACUGGACGCUGAGG
rnacentral:rRNA from 1 species